rnacentral:rRNA from 1 species
UACGAAGGGGGCUAGCGUUGUUCGGAAUCACUGGGCGUAAAGCGCACGCAGGCGGAUUGAUAAGUCAGGGGUGAAAUCCCGGAGCUCAACUUCGGAAUUGCCUUUGAUACUGUCUAUCUUCGAGUUCGGGAGAGGUUGGCGGAAUUCCUAGUGUAGAGGUGAAAUUCGUAGAUAUUAGGAAGAACACCGGUGGCGAAGGCGGGUC